rnacentral:rRNA from 1 species
GACGUAGGAGGCGAGCGUUGUCCGGAUUCAUUGGGCGUAAAGAGCACGCAGGCGGUUUGGCAAGUCGGACGUGAAAAUCCGGGGCUCAACCCCGGACCUGCAUCCGAAACUGCCCGACUAGAGGUAGGUAGGGGAGAUCGGAAUUCCUGGUGUAGCGGUGAAAUGCGCAGAUAUCAGGAGGAACACCGGUGGCGAAGGCGGAUCUCUGGGACGGUACUGACGCUGAGACGCGAAAGCGUGGGGAGCGAACAGG